UAGAAGUUGGGUUAAAGGUUUCCGUAGGUGAACCUGCGGAAGGAUCAUUGUCGA
rnacentral:rRNA from 1 species